AUACGACUACAUAUCAGGCAUAUCAAUAAGCGGAGGAAAAGAAACUAACAAGGAUUCCCUUAGUAACGGCGAGUGAAGCGGGAAGAGCUCAAAUUUGAUAUCUUCAAGGUUUUACCUUGACGAAUUGUAGUUUAAAGAAGUGUUUUCUGUUGAAGUUUCGGUAAAAGUUCUUUGGAAUAGGACAUCAUAGAGGGUGAGAAUCCCGUAUUUGACCGUUAUUUUCAGCUGUGUGAUACACUUUCAAAGAGUCGGAUUGUUUGGGAAUGCAGUCCAAAAUGGGUGGUAAAUUUCAUCUAAAGCUAAAUAUUGGCGAGAGACCGAUAGCGAACAAGUACCGUGAGGGAAAGAUGAAAAGAACUUUGAAAAGAGAGUUAAACAGUACGUGAAAUUGUCAAAAGGGAAGCGUUUGACACCAGUAUUGUUUUCUCGAAAAUCAAUUAAAAAUAGCUUGAUUUUGUGUUGUAUUGACCUUAAAAGCUUUCUUCACUUUAUUCAUGUCUUUUUAAUGCACUUUUCGUUUAACAAGUCAACAUCAGUUUCUUUUGUUGUAAAAAGGUCAUUGGAAGGUGGCUUUCUUUUCGGAGAAAGCGUUUAUAGCCUUUGACUCCUGCAAUCGGAGAGACUGAGGUCUGCAGCGUAGAUCCUUCUUGGAUUAGAUUCAUUUGUGCUAAGUUAUAGCUUUUUAUAGACAACAUUGUUGACUAUAUUUAGUCAUUGUAACUUACUCGCUUAUGCAAUUUUACCUACGCUUAGGAUGUUGAAUCUGUGCGAGACUAC
rnacentral:rRNA from 1 species